rnacentral:tRNA from 2 species
GUUCAUAUAAUUUAAAUAAAAUAUUAGAUUGUGAUUCUAAAUAUAGGAGUUAAAAUCUCCUUAUUAACC